GAGAGGUGACCAAGUGGGUGGAUGUGGGGCGGGGGGGUGCAGGAGAAGGAGGGGCCAGGCUGCGCCCAGGUCGGCAGCACCUGGCGGACGCUGGAGGUGUGUGGAGAACAAGGGCAGGGGCUUUGUUGGGUUUGCAGUGGCCCCGCACACAAGAUUAUCGACGAAUACAUCAAGGAGAAUGGCUUCGGCCUGGAGGGGGCGCAGCCGGGCCCCGGCGAGGGGCUGCCGCGCCUGGUGUCCCGCGGGGCGGCCUCGCUGAGCACCGUCACGCUGG
rnacentral:lncRNA from 1 species